rnacentral:lncRNA from 1 species
AUGGCUUUGAGCCUAACAAAGGGUUUAGACUCCUCCGCCUGCCAGAACAGUGAUUCCACCUCUCUUGGAACAGUCAUAUCUGCUGAGAAGUUUAAGGAAGGAACCUUGAGAAAGCAUCAGAGGUGGCUUUGGAGGUGGAAUCUAAAGAAACUAGAGGAGAGAAGAAAGGAAGAAUGGAUUACAAAAGAUGAGCAAGAUGCCUGGAAUUUCACACGUACAUCAUCUCUUUGGGUCACAGAGAAAGCCAUGCUUGAUUAACACUGAGGAUUCGCGUGUGACCUAUGGCUGGUGUCCAAUGACUUCUCCCAUUUUCAGAACACUUCUGUAAUGUUUCCGUCAGUGGUGAAUAUAUGACAUCCAAGGAAAGGUGAGGCCCUGACACUAAGAGGAAUACAAUGACCAGUCCAAGAGGACAACCCAGAACUGGACUUCUGGGGCCUGACUGAACUGGAUUGAGGUAUCGGACACGCUUUUACAGAGGCUAUUUAGGAGGUAGAUUUUAUGAGCCUCAUUUUGCCAAUGAUAACACUAGGGCACAGAGAGGUUCAGCAACCCGCCCAAGGCCACACAGCCAGGAAGGAGCAGGAUCUGACCCCAGGCUGCCUGACUCCGGAGCCCAUGCUUGCAAACAUUCCACUGAACCACAGGCUGCCUGACUCCGGAGCCCAUGCUUGCAAACAUUCGUAAUCCCUGCUGAAUGAUUUCAGCUCUCCUGCUGUCUUCCCCCACCUCACUGUCUCGCGAUGGACAUUCACAUUUCCCGGCUGGCCCAGAAGCUGCGAUAGGGUGUUAUGAGCUGUUAGCUUAAGAGGGGUGAAGCCCUGUGAAAAGAAAACACACUUGCUCCCCUUCCUCAGCUGCGCUGGUCUUUCCUCCAGCUGAUCUUUCUCCUGUUAUAUAAAUGGAAUGUUAUACAAAUGUUUCCACCAUGAGUUUCCUUUCAAAAGAUGAA